rnacentral:rRNA from 1 species
GAUGAACGCUGGCGGCGUGCCUAAUACAUGCAAGUCGAGCGAACAGACGAGGAGCUUGCUCCUCUGACGUUAGCGGCGGACGGGUGAGUAACACGUGGAUAACCUACCUAUAAGACUGGGAUAACUUCGGGAAACCGGAGCUAAUACCGGAUAAUAUAUUGAACCGCAUGGUUCAAUAGUGAAAGACGGUUUUGCUGUCACUUAUAGAUGGAUCCGCGCCGCAUUAGCUAGUUGGUAAGGUAACGGCUUACCAAGGCAACGAUGCGUAGCCGACCUGAGAGGGGGAUCGGACACACGGGAACUGAGACACGGUACAGACUCCUACGGGAGGCAGCAGUAGGGAAUCUUCCGCAAUGGGCGAAAGCCUGACGGAGCAACGCCGCGUGAGUGAUGAAGGUCUUCGGAUCGUAAAACUCUGUUAUUAGGGAAGAACAAAUGUGUAAGUAACUAUGCACGUCUUGACGGUACCUAAUCAGAAAGCCACGGCUAACUACGUG